UACGUAGGGGGCUAGCGUUGUCCGGAUUUAUUGGGCGUAAAGAGCGUGUAGGCGGCCAGGUAGGUCUGCUGUGAAAACUCGAGGCUCAACCUCGAGAUGUCGGCGGAAACCAUCUGGCUAGAGUCCGGAAGAGGAAAGUGGAAUUCCUGGUGUAGCGGUGAAAUGCGCAGAUAUCAGGAGGAACACCGGUGGCGAAGGCGGCAUCCUGGACCAACACUGACGCUGAGGAGCGAAAGCCGGUGGGGAGCGAAACAGGG
rnacentral:rRNA from 1 species